GACGAACGCUGGCGGCGUGCUUAACACAUGCAAGUCGAACGAAGAGCGAUGGAUGCUUGCUUCUAUCAAUCUUAGUGGCGAACGGGUGAGUAACGCGUAAUCAACCUGCCCUUCAGAGGGGGACAACAGUCGGAAACGACUGCUAAUACCGCAUACGAUCUAACCUCGGCAUCGAGGAUAGAUGAAAGGUGGACUCUACAUGUAAGCUAUCAUUGAAGGAGGGGAUUGCGACUGACUAGCUAGUUGGAGGGGUAACGGCCCACCAAGGCGAUGAUCAGUAGCCAGUCUGAGAGGAUGAACGGCCACAUUGGGACUGAGACACGGCCCAGACUCCUACGGGAGGCAGCAGUGGGGAAGCGUCCGCAAUGGACGAAAGUCUGACGGAUCAACGCCGCGUGAGUGAUGACGGCCUUCGGGUUGUAAAGCUCUGUUAAUCGGGACGAAAGGCCUUCUUGCGAAUAGUGAGAAGGAUUGACGGUACCGGAAGAGAAAGCCACGGCUAACUACGUG
rnacentral:rRNA from 1 species